rnacentral:rRNA from 1 species
AACAAGGAUUCCCCUAGUAACGGCGAGUGAAGCGGGAUGAGCUCAAAUUUGAAAGCUGGCAGUAAUGUCCGCGUUGUAAUCUCGAGAGUUGUUUUCCGCGCUGGACCACGUACAAGUUCCUUGGAAUAGGAUGUCAUAGAGGGUGAAAAUCCCGUACUUGAUGUGGACGCCCAGUGCUUUGUGAUACAUCUUCGAAGAGUCGAGUUGUUUGGGAAUGCAGCUCAAAAUGGGUGGUAAAUUCCAUCUAAAGCUAAAUAUUGGGGAGAGACCGAUAGCGAACAAGUACCGUGAGGGAAAGAUGAAAAGCACUUUGGAAAGAGAGUUAAACAGUACGUGAAAUUGUCAAAAGGGAAGCAUUUGAAGUCAGACGUGUAUUGUAGUAUUCAGCCUUGCUUUUGCUUGGUGUAUUUGCUAUUUUACAGGCCAACAUCAGUUUUGAAUGACGGAUAAGGGUAUUAAGAAUGUGGCAUCCUCGGAUGUGUUAUAGCUUUUUACUGGAUACGUCGUUUGGGACUGAGGAACGCAGCUCGCCGUAAGGCAGACCUUUGGGUACUUUCGAGCUUAGGAUG